GACGAACCGUCCGAACGUUAUUCGGUAUCACUGGGCUUAAAGCGUUCGUAGGCGGCCUAGUAGGUGAGAUGUGAAAGCCCUCGGCUCAACCGAGGAAUAGCGUUUCAAACCACUAGGCUAGAGGAUGGCAGGGGUAAUGGGAACUGAUGGUGGAGCGGUGAAAUGCGUUGAUAUCAUCAGGAACACCGGUGGCGAAAGCGCAUUACUGGGCCAUUUCUGACGCUGAGGAACGAAAGCUAGGGUAGCGAACGGG
rnacentral:rRNA from 1 species